rnacentral:rRNA from 1 species
UACAGAGGGUGCGAGCGUUGUCCGGAAUCACUGGGCGUAAAGGGCGCGUAGGUGGCGGACCAAGUCCGUGGUGAAAGCUCGAUGCUUAACAUCGAGUCGGCCACGGAGACUGGGUGGCUCGAGCACUGUAGGGGCAGAUGGAAUUCCGGGUGUAGCGGUGGAAUGCGUAGGGAUCCGGAAGAACACCGGUGGCGAAGGCGGUCUGCUGGGCAGUUGCUGACACUGAGGCGCGACAGCGUGGGGAGCAAACAGG